AAAAAAAAAAAAAAAAAAGAUGACCUGACAAGUUGGAUCAACAUUAACUGCAAGCCACUAACAUAUCAUGUGUCAAAGCACACUAAUGACAAGGAAAGCAUCAUAGAUAAGCAUGCGACAGUUUUUCCACCAACAAUGACAAAUCAUAUAUACGUGUACACUGGAUUGUAACUUCUAUAAAUGCUCAAUAAGAAAGGAAAGAACCACCCUAUUCCAAGGUGGGAAACCAAAAUUUCCAAGCAUAGUGAUUUACAAGUCAAAUUAAAACACCAGUCACCAAGUUUCCAAGGGAAAAAAUGGUUGAAUGUGCCAAUUCAAACUUGACAUUUAAAACUCAUUGGAAUGAAACAUGGUUGGGGGAAAGGAAGGGAAAUCAAUGAGGGCUAACCUACCUAUAGUCCAAGGUCUAGUAGCCUCCUGAUUACCCAAAAGAAGAAUAAAUAGAUGGGGCAAGAGGGAAGAAUAAGGUUAAAGAUUAGACUAACCAAUAUUCGA
rnacentral:misc_RNA from 1 species